GCAAGAUGGUGGUUUCAGCGACGAAACGCUUUUCGUUGUUUGCGGAGAAAAAUCUUCUCACAGAAAUUGCAUCCGAUGAUAGUUUGUAUCUGAAGAAGCUGAAUAGGGAUGAAACAGGUUCAAAUCAGUAAUCUCGAGAAACACAGAGAGGGGAAUCGACGUUGAAAAGGUUGACAAUUUCGUCAAAGAAAGACAGAAGUUAAGAUUGAUCAUGACAGUCAGCCUAAAUUUUCAUUGGAAUGGAGGAAUUAAGGAGUAAAGUUAAUACAAGCGACAUUCCUACAAAGUACUUUGUUUCUGCUUAUUUUGAACCCGAUUACAAUCUCAACUACACACUCCUCGCCCAAAUGUAUCUCUGUAAAGGUGUCUGCAUGAGAGGUAAAAUUUCGCUUCAGCAAAACCGACAGUGCCUCACUUUGCUUCAGAAGACUUUUUAAAGCAGUUCGCUCAUCUUUUUUGUGACUUUAUAUUUACUGAGAUUUAAUAUCAUCAAGGACUUGGGAUGCUGAAUCGCUUAACUUUAUCUACAUUCGACAGAAAAAACUCUUCACUUAGUCGUUUGCCUGAGAGACAUUAUUUUCACUGGAGAACUUCGCCGAAACUAAUCCGAAUUUCACGCAAGGUUUAUUGAUAGGUCUCUGGUCGGUUGUUCUACCCUUCAUCUGUCGAUUCGAACUCAAUAAUUUGGUGAACAUUUGCGGACAGACAUGUUUGUGGACCUUUGGAAAGAGACCUUUUCACUGGAUCUUGAAAUGGAAAUUUGUUUUUGUGCUGAUGUUGAUUUGGGCAUGGAUUGUCGGCGGAAACAGAUGGGAAUGCUGAGACUGAACAAAGGUUCCUGUA